UCACGCCAGGACCCUAGUCUUCAUUGGACCCUUCCUCAUUCUGUCCUCAUUGAGGCCAUCUGAGAAUAGGGGCUAUCUGAGAAUGCAGGGGAGUGGACAUCGUGUGCAGACAGGGAGUCUGAUUGUGAGUGCCACGGGGCUGAGGCCUGCGCCGACCUGGUCUGCUGGUGCUACCAGGCUUGAACAGUCUUCAAAUCCACUGCUAUUAGGCAAAUUACCUGGCUCCCGCUGAACUCCAGCACCUAGAACUAUGUCACACUCGUAGUAGGCCGCUGCAUUGGUUGAACAAAUGAUUUUGAAAGAAUGAAUGUCUUCCUCUGUGCCUGCAUUUCCUCAGAAGGCUGUAACAAAGAUUAAAUAGGAAAAUUCGUGGAAAGUUCAAUUACUA
rnacentral:lncRNA from 1 species